AGAAUCAUUGAGCUACCAGCCAUAGUUUGGUACAGAAGCAAAAGUCAACUAUCUCAGUCACUUUGUUAUAGACAACCUGACGGUUAAUUACAUAUUUUUGCCAGAAAUCUACACUACCGGCCGCUGCUGAUUAACAGGUUCUAUCACACCGGAUUCUUCUCUGCUGCCUGAUUACUACGCAAUACUAUUACAUCUUAAAAUAAUCGUGAUUUGAGGUGAUUCCGAUUGAUCAACCGCCUAAUAAUAAAACAAACACAAAAAUUACAAAUAGUGAGAGUAACAAAACCACUUACGUGUUCACAUCCUAGUUAACUCAUCGUUUUCUGGGAUAAAGAUUGAGAUUAUCAGAUUAUUAUCGUUCAGCAAACAGGUUAUAAAGAUAAAAAGCCAAGAUGUUUGCCAUUAUGCAGAUUGACAACGACGUCAGUGGAGGUCAGUUCAGGAGAAAGAUGAGGUCCAAGUGCGAGUUCGUCUGCAAGUAUUGCCAAAGGAGGUUUACGAAGCCGUACAACCUCAUGAUUCACGAGAGGACGCACAAGAGUCCAGAGGUAACUUUCAGUUGCGAAAUUUGCGGGAAGAGUUUUAAACGGCAGGACAACCUCAAACAACACAGAUGUAAUCAGUGCUAUUGGAGGUAAAGGGCUCCUAUGGUUGAAAAAGGGCUAACCCAGUCCUUCUUAAUUUUAAAAGUGAGCAUACACUACCCAGCCAAUACAACAUGUAGUUGUUUCAGUAGCAGAUACUAGUAUUAAGUCGCCUUUAAAAUUUCUUCACACACAGUAUUUAUUGCGUUUUUAAUGUUUUGUAAAUAUAUCUUUAGAAUUAAUAAUAUUUAUUAUACAAUGUAUUAUUAAACUUAUUAGUUAGUAAGUCAAGACUACCGCUGUCUAGUCUAAAUCUAUUUUAUUUUAUGUAUUAAAACAACUUUAACAAAUGAUUGUAUGGAAUACAAUUUGUGAUCAUGUUAAGAGUGAGAUAAUUCAUAUACAUAAUUAUUAUUUCUAAACGUGAGUUGCCCGUCCAUUAAAAUUUAGUUUUGGUUGUAGAUUAAGUAUCCUACAAGUGCCAUCAAACGUCAUCGAUUAGUAUUAUAACUUACAGCGUUGCCAGAUUAUUCAAAAGUAUCAAUAGUCAUGAAAUCGUCAGAUUUUAAAUGCAAAUUAUUAUUUUGUUAAAUCAUAUAUGAAAAAAAAAAGGAAAGAAAAGGCAGUGUUAUACUUACAGCAUAUCAAAUUUAAUAUUUCAUAUAUAAUUUGAUGUGUGUUUUCUACAUUUUUUUCUUUUUAAUUUCUUUCUGAAACUUAAAAAUGGAUAAGUGCUGAAAACGUUGCUAAAUAAAAAAAUAUUUUUUGAUAAUAAAUCCAAAUAAUUCUAAUUAAUAUCAAAAGUUUUAAAAAGACUUUCAGGUCUAAAAGACUAAAUGUUAAAUUAAGCUUUAAUAUUAAGGGAGUAGGCUCAAAAUCAUGGUCCAAUGUUGUUUAAAUUCAUUUCAUAUUCAUAUUCAUUUUUUUUUCGAAUCCUGAGUAAACUAAUAAAUAUUUUAAAAAAAAAUUUAAACGCAGAAUGAAAUAUUACUUUAUUACUGAGGGCCGAAAAUCCCUAAAAACUUCUAUAAUGCUUAUUCUAAUAAGUUACAGGAAAAAAAGAGAAAAUUUAGUGUGAUUUUUAAUUUCAAAUAUUUCAUUCAAAGAAACUUUUUGUCUACUCUGAGUGACUUUCUGCCCUCGGUAAUGAUGUAAUCUUUCAUUCUGCGCUUAAAUUUUUCAAAAACAUUUUUUAGUUUUCUCAGGAUUCGAAAGAAAUCAUUGCAUUUAAAUAGCAUUGGACCAAGAUUUUGCGCCUACCCCCUUAACUAUAUAAAAAAACAACCAUUGCCGAAAAAACCGCAUUUCAAAAAAUCUCUUAUAAAUCGUUGUUUUUACACAAAACUUUUUAAUUUUUGAACAAUUUUACUUAAAAUUUUUUUCUUUCUAUUUAUUUUGCAGUAAAAUCUCACUCUUAAUUUUAGGUGUAGUGCAAUGACUAGGUUUAGUUUUCGAAAAAUCCUGUACAGUUAAAAAUAAUAUAUUGCUUUUAUAGUUUUUAACAACUUAAGAAUAAUAUCUUGUGAGUUUUCUAUAACCUUUAUUGAACUGUGUACUUUUCGUGAAAAUGCAAAGAGUCCUUCAGUUUUCUAUAUAAAAAAUGAAAUUGUAAAAAUGUUUACGUACCUAAUUGUAAAAUAAAAAUGUUUCUAAUG